UACAGAGGUCUCGAGCGUUGUUCGGAUUCAUUGGGCGUAAAGGGUGCGUAGGCGGCGAGGCAAGUCUGGUGUGAAAUCCCGGGGCUCACCCCGGAACUGCACUGGAUACUGCUUUGCUAGAGUACUGGAGAGGGAACUGGAAUUUACGGUGUAGCAGUGAAAUGCGUAGAUAUCGUAAGGAAGACCAGCGGCGAAGGCGAGUUCCUGGACAGUUACUGACGCUGAGGCACGAAGGCCAGGGGAGCAAACGGG
rnacentral:rRNA from 1 species